AUUAAUUGAUUUAUAUUUUUGAUUUGGGAAAAAUAAUGGAAAAUGAUAAUUACCUUUUCCUUAGCUAGGUUUUGAUGAUUGGGGCAUUUAAAUAGAAAAUAAGAAAGAGCUUGAAGGCUCAUUUGGCUUGGUGGCUGUCGUGUGCUUAGAGAGAAGGGAGAGGGAGAGCUCGUGAGUUCUAGAGAGAGAGGGAGAGAAGAAGAACGUGAAGGAGAAGAGAAGGAGAGGAAAGAAGAGGCCAAGUCUAUAGAUCCUAAGGUUUGGAUUUUGUUUCAAGAAGAUUGGAGGCUAGGGUUCGAAAUCCCUAGGUUUCGAAACCCUGGGCUUGAACAAGUGGUGACCAUAGUUUGGGUUCUUGUCACUAUCGUGUCCUUGAGUUCUAGCAAGAGAGACAGUGAGCUUCAACGAGGAAUGGCGAAGUUGAGGUUGUCACGUGGAGUUCAGAACGGAGAGGAUGUUGCCGGAGUUGAGGACGAAUGGGCUGUUUGGGUCACUGGUAGAAUGAAGAAGAAGAAGAAGAAGAAGAAAAGGAAUCAGCAUGGAUAUAUAGUGAAGCGGGGGACAACUUAAAAAU